UACAGAGGUCUCAAGCGUUGUUCGGAUUCAUUGGGCGUAAAGGGUGCGUAGGUGGCGCCGUAAGUCAGGUGUGAAAUUUCGGAGCUUAACUCCGAAACUGCAUUUGAUACUGCGGCGCUUGAGGACUGGAGAGGAGACGUGGAAUUUAACGGUGUAGCAGUGAAAUGCGUAGAUAUCGUGAAGGAAGACCAGUGGCGAAGGCGGGUCUCUGGA
rnacentral:rRNA from 1 species